CAAAAGAAAUACCAUGAAGUAGUAGGAUCAACUCUCCUCAAUGUUGUUCCUACCACAUGAAUUUCAACAGUAAUAUGAAGAAGUUGAUAGACUGUUAGUAGGAUUCAAUUUACAUAAUGAUCUUAAUGUAAUUAACUUAUAUAACAAACUUCUAACUAAUCACAACUAACUUCUACUUCCUUAACAAGUAUUAAGCUUAUUCUAAUUAAUAUGUAGCUAUAUCUUACACAAAAAGGCAAGCAACCUGUCAUCUCUUUUAUCCAAAACCAAUUUGACAUCACAAAUACGAAGCUUGAACAUAGGUUCAAGCUUCAAAUAACUGUCGUUGCAUUCACCGUCAAACUAGUUCUUGAGACGAGUCUUCGAUCACAUGUCAGAAUCAAGAAACCAUACGGUGAUCGCUCAAAGUGCACUUUGGCAAAAUGUGGGUCAGAAAUCACUGUGUUCCAUGUUCUACAAACACAUUUACAUAUGAUAACAGACUUGAUGGGAAGUCGAAGUAGAAUGUCGGUGGCGAUUGGAAAUGGAAGAUCAGCAAAAGAAGGGCUAAGUUCUUGAAUUUCUACUUCAUCAACUUUUUCUUUCCCUGUUUUGGCUUUUUUUUUAGCCCUGGGAGAAGGGAUUAAGCCACUUUUCCUUUCCAUAGCCACACACUGAGCUCAGUGAUGAAGUUUGGCGGCAGUGAG
rnacentral:lncRNA from 1 species